rnacentral:rRNA from 1 species
GUCCACGCCCUAAACGAUGCUCACUAGGUGUUGGGGAAGCGAUUCCUUGGUACCGUAGCUAACGCGUGAAGUGAGCCGCCUGGGGAGUACGGCCGCAAGGUUAAAACUCAAAGGAAUUGACGGGGACCCGCACAAGCGGUGGAUGAUGUGGAUUAAUUCGAUGCAACGCGAACAACCUUACCUACCCUUGACAUGUCCGGAAGUCUGCUGAAAGGUGGAUGUGCUCGAAAGAGAACCGGAACACAGGUGCUGCAUGGCUGUCGU